rnacentral:rRNA from 2 species
GGCCUUUUGAAUUUAAUUUAAGGUCUGACCUGCCCAGUGAUGAAUUUAACGGCCGCGGUAUAUUGACCGUGCAAAGGUAGCAUAAUCAUUAGUCUUUUAAUAGAGGGCUGGAAUGAAUGGUUUAACGAGGAACUAGCUGUCUCAUUUUAUUUGUUUUAGAAUUUAAUUUUUUAGUUAAAAAGCUAAAAUUUUAUUGGAAGACGAGAAGACCCUAUAGAUCUUUAUAUAAUUUUAUUUAUUUAUUUAUAUAUUAAUGUAAUUAUAUUUAAAUUAUAUUUUGUUGGGGUGACAAAAAUAUAUAAUUAACUUUUUCAUUUAUUUACCAUUUAUAUAUGAGUAUUAGAUCCAUUUUUAGUGAUUGUUAGAAUAAGUUACCUUAGGGAUAACAGCGUAAUCCUCCUCCAGAGUUCAUAUUUACAGGAGGGCUUGCGACCUCGAUGUUGGAUUAAGAUAAUAAUUAGGUGUAGCCGCUUAAUGUAUAGGUCUGUUCGACCUUUAAAUUCUU